CCCUGGACCCUUACCAGUUAAAAGGGCAAAGAGGAAGUAGCACCCUUGCUUUGCUCCAGCUGUUCCUAGCCCCAGCAUUCCUUUCUGCUCAGCCAACUGUGACCAAGUUUGGCCUCAACCGUUCCUCUGAGACUGCCCCUGCCAAAGAUUUAUUGGCCUGUCAUGCGGUGAGCAAAGUGAACUUGAGUUCAGCAUCAAUUUUUGGUGAGCCAAGCCGGGAACCUUGCUGCUUGUGACCAGCUGGCCCCAGUUGGAGAAUUUCCUAGCAGCUGCUGGGACCACUUGUCCUGAGGAUUUUCCCUUCAAAAUUCCCUGAAGUGGCACUGGCUGCCCCAGUACUUGGCAGCUGGAAUAAGGAAUCGACUUUUGGGAGCCGAUGGGUUCCAUAGGGUAAGCAUGAUCUCCUUUGCAAAUUAAAUGUUCAAGUAAAUUUUUCACCAUAAGAUCUUGACAUCAAAGUCCCAUUGGAGCAUGCUUUGAGCCUACAGAUGGCACUCAUGGAGGCCCCAGGAAGGAAGGCAGAGCUCUUCCCCACCAAGGUCUAUGAAGAGCGACCAGAGCAGAGUUGGGUUCAGUAUCAACUGUGGAAUAACCAUUGAUGAAGAAAACUAGUACUCACCAGAAAAGAUCUACAACGAAAGACAGAAGGAAGGAUCUUCAGCAAAAUGGCCACGUGUGGAUAAUACUUGCCAUGUUGGCCAGUACAGCUCUAGAGGAAAGAGACCACAUGAAGAGAGAGGCCACAUGGAAGAGAACUGAGCUGUCUCAUGGACUGCUAGCACCAAGGCACCAGAUGUGUGAGGCCUCCAGCCCUACGUGAAUCUAUUCAGACCAUAUGGAACAAAGACAGGCUGUCCCUGCUGAGACCUGCCCAAAUUACUGACCUACAGAAUCAUGAGAUUGUUUUAAGCCAUUAAAUUUGAUGUGCUUUUUUAUGUAGCAAUAAUAACUGAUAUAGACACAGUGGCAACAAAGUCUUGCCAUCCUAUGAAGAUCUAUCUGGGGUAGCCAACUGGCCUUUUUAAAGUGAUACCUUAAUUCCAUAUGCCUUUCCAUUCAAAUUAUAAUACUAUUCUGCAAAAAUGUUGACUGCAUCAGGCCCAAGUAAAGAAAUUGGGGCACUCAAAGUAGAAGGAACAAUUUCAUUUAUUAAGCAUUAGAGUCUUCAUGCAUAGGCCUCCCACUUGCUUAGAGAGACCUCUAUGAUACAACGGAUGUUUAUAGCAAGGAAGUCUGAGCUCCAGCCAUUGGAUUUGAAGGUUUACUCCAUGGACUCAAUAGAACUUCUAAGUCCAGAUCCCUCCUACUUCCUAUAAGAUAUCCUUGUGCCCCUUUUUCCUCCUCAAAGUCAUAGAUUGUCAUAGCUCCUGGCCACAUGUAGGUGUAGCCCAUUUAAAGCCAGAAAUGUUGGUUGACCAGAGCAGGAUCCAGGAAUGACAAUUUAUGGGAGCUACUGAUCUAACUUUUAUAGCAUCACUGGUUUCUAUCCUUCAGCCCUCUCCUUACUACUGAGGUCCUGAUUCUAUUGUAUUCAGUAUUCCUGGUUACAUGGAAUUUAUACUACUUGUCUCUGCUUUCUUUUACUCUCCUGAUGCUGCAUUAAUUAUAUUUCAAAGAUCAAGGAGAAUUCUUAAAUUAUUAAUGAAAGGGACCAUUAUAUGUAAGUGGAAUUUUUCAUGACUGACAAUUUUCAUUUUGUAUUUCUAAAUAUCAGUAAGCUGACCUCUGCACAUUUUCUUAAGUCUGUGUUACUUUGGUGAGAACUAUGCUUGGAGAACAGGUGAGAAAUGGUAAUCUCACUCAAUUUACCAGGUAAAAAAAUAUUAAAGUAGUACUCUGCAUGAUAUAUGAGAGUUUGCCAACAUAACCAGGGUGGGAGUUUAUUGAGAAAAAAAUUUUGAAUUUUGUUCAAAGAUUUACACAUUCUUCUGCAUUGUAAUUUGUAAAAAUAAAAUA